rnacentral:rRNA from 1 species
GCUAGCUCCGGGCCAGGGGCCGGGGGAGUACGGGGGGUCGAAGCGUUUGCCGGAGGCAAUGGGCGUAAAUGGCGCGUAGGCGGCUCAGUAAGUGGCUGGUGAAAUCCCGGGGCUCAACGCCGGGGCUGCCGGUCAGACUGGGGGGCUCGAGCACGGUAGAGGCGGAUGGAAUUCCCGGUGUAGCGGUGGAAUGCGUAGAGAUCGGGAAGAAUACCGGUGGCGAAGGCGUUCCGCUGGGCCGUUGCUGACGCUGAGGCGCGACAGCGUGGGGAGCAAACAGGAUUAGAUACCCUGGUAGUC